UCCUACGGGAGGCAGCAGUGGGGAAUAUUGGGCAAUGGGCGAAAGCCUUACCCAGCAAUGCCGCGUGUAUGAAGAAGGUCUUCGGAUUGUAAAGUACUAUAUUGGGGAAGAACACAAUGACGGUACCCAAGAGAAAAAGCCCCGGCUAACUAUGUGCCAGCAGCCGCGGUAAUACAUAGGGGGCUAGCUUUGUCCGGAAUUACUGGGCGUAAAGGGUGCGUAGGUGGCAAUGUAUGUUGGAAGUGUAAUCCCUCGGGCUUAACUCAGGGGCUGCUUCCAAAACUGCAUUACUUGAGUGUCGGAGAGGAAAACGGAAUUCCUAGUGUAGCGGUGAAAUGCUCAGAUAUUAGGAGGAACACCAGAGGCGAAGGCGGUUUUCUGGACGACAACUGACGCUGAGGCACGAAAGCGUGGGGAGCGAUUGGGAUUAGAUACCCCAGUAGUCCACGCCGUAAAUGAUGGGUACUUGAUGUUGGGAGUAUCAACUCUUCCAGUGUCGUAGCAAACGCGAUAAGUACCCCGCCUGGGGAGUACGGCCGCAAGGUUGAAACUCAAAGGAAUUGACGGGGACCCGCACAAGCAGCGGAGCAUGUGGUUUAAUUCGAAGCAACGCGAAAAACCUUACCAAGACUUGACAUCGCAUGAUCGCCAUAGAAAUAUGGUUUCUCUUCGGAGCAUGCAGACAGAUGGUGCAUGGUUGUCGUCAGCUCGUGUCGCGAGAUGUUGGGUUAAGUCCCAAAACGAGCGCAACCCUUGUUGUUAGUUGCCAAUAUUAAGUUAGGAACUCUAGCGAGACUGCCGCGGUAACGUGGAGGAAGGAAGGGGACGACGUCAAAUCAUCAUGCCUCUUACGUCUUUGGGCUACACACGUGCUACAAUGGCCAUAACAAAGAGCAGCAAUAUAGCGAUAUUGAGCAAAUCUCAUAAAAAUGGUCUCAGUUCGGAUUGUAGGCUGCAACUCGCCUACAUGAAGUCGGAGUUGCUAGUAAUCCCGAAUCAGAACGUCGGGGUGAAUGCGUUCCCGGGUCUUGUACACACCGCCCGUCACGCCAUGGGAGUUGGUAGUACCCAAAGUCGGUGAGCUAACCGCAAGGAGGCAGCCGCCUAAGGUAAGAUCAAUGACUAGGGUGAAGUCGUAACAAGGUAACCA
rnacentral:rRNA from 1 species